CGCCUGUCGGAUCUAACCCAGAUGCCGUUUACGCAGAUCUUUACAAUAUAAAGGGAGACAGUAGAGUUGCAAUACAAUAAAUUACAAGAGGGUUAUGAGGGCCCUGCUUAUAAGAGCUAAUAGAGUGGGGUAAGUGGUACAAACGGUUAUAACUGUUUGGAAGAGAUAAAAGUUUAGGUAGUUGGAGGUGUGAUAGGCUUCCUUAAAGCGAUUAAUUUUUAGAGAUUGAAUAAAGGCAGUCAGAGUAGGUAAUAGCCAGACAGAUGGAGAUGGAGAGUUCCAGAGGAUGGGAGAGGCUCUGGAGAAGUCCUGGAGAUGAGCAUGACAAGCUAAAGUCUUGAUUGGAACUGAAUCCAGGUGCAAAGUAGUGUUCCACAUUUCAGGCAGUUCAAGGAGAUGCUGAGGGGUCAAUUUGCUCCUAGCCCUAGCCACAUGACUUUUAAGCAAGGGGGACACUCACAAAAAAAAUCAGAAGAAAAUCAGAAUUCUCCAUAGGUUUUGAAGUUCAAGGAGGAGGGGCCUGUAGACUGUUGAACCCACCCCUUUCAUUUCAUCAACCCCAAGACUUCUAUGCACUAAAAUGAACCUAAAGAUACCGGUUUAUAUUUGCAAAAAGGUCUCUCUGAGUCUCUGGUCUACAAAUAUAUAUAAUUUUCAAGGGUCGCAGGGCUAUCCUUUAAAUCCGUCCUCUUACACUCUCAUUGAGCCGAGCCCCUUAUUAAACAGAGCUUUGUUAGCUGAGCACUUGUAGUAAUGUCGAAAUCAAUGGAGUAAUGCAUUCGUAAUGCCAAAAAAUUUAUGCCGCUGAGCAGCCGAUAUAAACAAAGCAUUAGUCUACCCCGGGCGGGCAGGAUUGCGUCAAACAGUCGCUUUCCAGACUCCAUGCUUCAGAGCUCUGUCAUCAUUUAAUAAUAAUAAUUAUUAUGUGUAAUUGCACACUUGGCUCAGGGCACAACGAGGAGGGCAGAGCCGGCUUGAUGAAUGCCACUGUGGUUGGUGAGUAAAGAAAAAAAAAAAAAA